CCUCCCACAUUUCUGAACUUUUCCCUUCCCAUUAUAGCUCAUUUUCCUCUUCAACUCUUUGGUACAAGAGCAUUAAGAAGCAGUUACUCAGAAGAAUGCAGAAGUAAGCCAAAGUCCUAUUUUAUUUUUUAAAAUAUGAAUGUGCUCCCAGGAAUUUCAUUUGCUCUCUUCUUCCCCCUUCAGAUCUCCUGUUUUUUUCAUUUCGUUCCAUUUCACCGACUUCCAGCCAGUGCAACCCCUGUUCCCCACACUAGCUGCACCCCCCAAUUUCUGCCUUUUGAUCUUCCUAGUUUCAAAGAAAAUUAAUCUACCAGAUCUGCAUCAGUACGGUCUUCUUCCCUCCACUGAUAAUGGAGAAAAUGCAGACCUGUAUUUGUCUUUUCUAAAGACAAAUGUUGUUUUGCAUUGCCCAUGGGAGGGGCUCUGUGGGAUGCAACAGGAUGUAGAGGGCAGAGCAAGCCUCUUCCAGGAGGGAUUUGGGCAAGUCCAGCCACCAGAGGAACACGAAGAAUGUUCUUAGAAAAAAAUACGGUUUGUAUUAAUCCAUACUUGGAAAGGGAAAGGAACCGAAAGCCUUUCCUCAUUUGUAAAGUAUGUGAGACGUCACUCCCGACAAGCAGAUCAAGCGCUUUGGAAAGCAGCACACAGAUGCUCUUUUCCCUCUCCUUGAGCACAGGUUCGCCUUCAAUCCAACCGCACGGCUCAGGACAGAGGGCUCCAUUUUAACUGCAACCCAUCAAGCCCCUGAGAAGCCCUCUCCUUGCCUCCCAUGAGCAAUCCCUGCAGCCAGAGAGACACAGGGCGCUCAUCAGCAUUCCUCCCACCCCCUCGCAGCCCACAUUUGUGCUUCCACAAGCGUCCUAAGGAGCGUCUUCCAGGAGGCUCAGCCUGGCUGAAGGCGCUGUGCAGCGUGACCAAGAGAACACGGAAACACGAUUCAUUAGCCAUGCCUGGAGAGAUAACAAUGGGACCGCUUCUUGCUGCCUUUCAUCGCUCACAUCUCAAUGGAGCGAAUGCAUUCCUGCUGCACAACAAGCGCACUUAUAGACAGGGAAAAACACGAUCAUCUUUAAGACAGCCUUCUUUUUUUGUUGGUUUUCAGCCUUACAAUAUGCCUGCAGGCUACCACUGUUUUUAAUUGAUACAUUAAGAUUAUAAAUGGAAUAUACACACAAGAUCUCCAAGCCAUCCAGAGAGAUUCACAGGUGUGAUGCUGCCAGGUCCCUCCGUGGCCUCUUGUACCUUCCUCCCACCCAGUCAGCCUGGGCUUCGGGGAACAACCAGAUAUAAUAUUCCAUCUCAGUUGUACACUUGUGUUUGUAACUGAGGAAAUAUUUGCAUUUCCAUUCUCCAAAAUCUGAGUUUAUUUUUUUUGCAUAAAAAUUAAAAUUGCUCUCAUUUACUUCUCAUUCACAUGUCCUUCUGGUACUGUCAUCCUGCUCUACCUGAACUACUUACAGCUUCUGCAUUACCAUUUCCUUCUUUACCUUCAUGCUUUUUAAUCUAAUCAUUAUAGAAGUUACAAUUUUCAUCAAAGAGUCUUCUUUAACUUAUUUGUAACAUAUUACAAGAAGAUUGCAUUUUGACUUGAGGAAUUCUGGAAAAUAUUUUGGAGCAGCUGCCCAUUUUAAACACCCAUCAUGUCACACAGACACAGAACUAAUGGUUACAGGAGUGGACUACAGCACCAAGCUCGGGAUAUGCAGAACAUCAAAGCCAAGUCCUCCUCUCAGUACUUUUUGAAACCUAGAAAAAGCAUUGCUCAAGCACAUUUGCUUCUUGUUUAUACACCACUCGAAAAUAAUGUUUCCUGCCUAGCUACUGGAAUUCAUUAUAACAGGGUACACAGGAGUGAAGUACAAAAUUGACUUUGCAAUUUGUUUAUAUAGGAACUUGCUGAAGGAGAAGUUGAAGCAAUUUCAACAACAACAACAAAAAAACAACCACACACAAGCACAAUAACAACUCCAAAAACACUGCCUACCAGCCCCAAAUAUGCAAGUAGAGAGUAAAUGCAAACAAUAAGAACAAAUUUAAUACUGCUGGUUCUGCUUUGUUUGCUUUUUGGUUGGUUGGUUGGUUGUUGUUGUUUUUUGUUGUGUUUUUUUUUUUUUUUUAAGAAAUUAAGCUAAGCAGUAAGUUUCAGCUAUAACACUGAUGUAUACUUGAGAAGCAGAGGGUCUUGAUUCAGCAGUAGCCUAACAACAUCGCAAAAAUGUUUAUGGUCAGACUUGGUACUUACAUACAAAGUACUGUAUCAGAAUAAACAGUCAGUUUCCAGAGUCCCAGUUUUGCUACUAUUUUUUGGGAAAAAAAUCAGAGUAUGCAUCUUCAGCUCAGGUAUUAAAAACAGGAAAAGUGGUUCAAAUAAAACUUCUUUUCAAAAAUGUGACAAACAGUUUCUCUCAUACACGCAUCUUUUUCAGAGAACAACAGACUUUCAAAACCAGAGCCGCAGAACAAAAGGCUAAAAAAAAAACUUCAGAAACAACACAACCAGAUUUGUCAUUUUGUUUAUUCUGUACUGGAUUUUAGUGCUCCCCAAGAAGCAUGCCAAAAUAUUUUGUGCUCUUCUGCGAGCACAAGUUUACUGUAGUUUGCCACUAUUUCAACUGAGCUAGGGUGAAAUGACAGCUUUUUUUUUUUUUCUUCAAUAGCAUCAUAUAUCGAGUCCUCCCAGGGAAGGGCUCUGCUCCUGGGGCAGCCGAGUGUCAGGUUUGUUAAUACACUUCUGGCAUCUCCUGAUAAAGAGCCAGCAGAGGGAGCUACGCGUAGCCGGUUCUUCAACUCCAGCAGGAUCUGGUUUUCAGAUUGAAAAAAAGGGGGAUGCAAGAUCACAGAUGCUAAAAAUUAUCUUCUGACAGAAAUGACCACAUUCAAUAACAAAUAUAUAAAAAGUACACCAAUUUUGAGUAGGAAAAAUUUAAUCACUUUUUUUUUUUUUAAGUGAAACGUUCCAUACAAAACAGCUUUCAAGGCAGAGUAACCUUCCUGAAAAAAAAAGACAAGACCUAGUCCCAGGUGUUCGGUGCCAAAUCGUUUAAUGGCCCCUUGAGAAAGGCUAAUAAGUUUAGUCAAAAUCCAAAGAUACCUGAAAAUAUUCAAAUAUCUAUUAAGCCUGAUGGAAUUAAGGGCCAUGCGGAGUGUGAAAGACCACAGUUCACAAACACGGUCUUUCCUGGAAAGUUUCAGGAUUUCUGAGUUUGAGUUCUCAGUUAACCAGAACAACGCAAUGAUAGGAGACCAACUCCGAGGCGGUGUGUUUCUGUUUUGUGUUUUUUAAGUAACACUGAGCCUCACUAAAGAGACCGGUUUUUACCAUCGUAAUGUUGGCAGCACCUCUCAACACAGAAAGCUUCAGCUAUAAAACCUAACCGCUGCAGAUGUGCCCAGACUCAUCGAGAUGGGAAGCACAACACACGGCUGUUUGUACGGCCGGCCUGACGAAAAGGAGGGACAAACACUCCAAGCCACAGUUACCAAUAAGCUCCCUAGUGAAAAACAAGGCCCCUCCCUCCCCACCCCGCCAAGUGCUUUUUUCAAGCUGGGAAAACUACAGAUGCUCCUUCUGCUGGAGACAGAAAAACAAACUGGGAGCCCACACAUGAUUUUCCUUAAAUGGAAGGUAUUACAGGAAAAAAGAUAAUAAGGAUGACAGAACUUAGCUCCCAUAGGGGGCAUAGCAUUGCAGACAGAAAAAUAAUUACUGAAGACUCGAAAGCUGUUCUGGAAAUAUGCAAAUCCUUGGAAACAUGCACAAAUAUCAAGAUUUUACAUGCUACAUGAGACCAUUAGAUCCUUGUCAUAAUCAGCAAGACUGAAUGGACAACUUACUUAGUAAUUUUUUAAAGCCAGUCCUGUUCUGUAGAGACCUCCCCAACCCCUACAGGAGUUGGUGCAGGCAGAAGGUGGGACAGGAGGAGGCUCCCCAGUGAACACAGGGUCUGGCAGAACUAGAACCUCCUUCCCAGCGAGGGAGGACAGAGGACUUUCUAUUCAACCUAAAGCGAUGCAACUUCAGACUCCCUUUUGUACUUGGGACUACUUUUAAAAAUCGGUUUAAUAGCAUUUGAGACAACCCAUCCUCAAAACAAUCCCUUUCCCAGGCGUUUCCUGCGCUCACUGCUGGAGUUAUUUCACACGCCCGUGUUUCAACAGGAGCUAUCUCCUCACGGCUGGUUCUGCAAUGCAAAUGUAGUAUGUUGUUCGCUUUACAGUCUGUUGCCAUGGAUGUUAAUGUGAUGUCAUAAAUUGUUAUAUCUUCAUUGCAGAAACAAAAUGAAGGGGCUUGCAAGCAGCAGAAAAACAAGAACUCAUCUAAGGAACCAUGUUUAAGAAGCAACUCUUGUGCAAGUCAAAAAAGGCACAGAUUUAUACUUCAGUUCAGAACUGUUGCAUGUUUCUUUCACUGCAUAAGAAUGAUUUAAAGAUUACAAAUUACCUAUUUAAUUUUACCUACACAGAAUGGACUCCCCAGCACCAAAUACAUCAAUAUUUCUGCAGUUUAUCUGUUCACCACGUCUGAGAGUAUCUUAGUUGGGUCUGAACUCUCACCUCGUGUACUGGACAGUGGCUCCAUGCCCCAGUGAUGCUUGUGUGACCUCUUUCCUCUUUUUUUCCUGUAUUUUAAGCUACUUUUUGGCCCAUUCAUUACAUCUAUUGCAUAAAAUUGGCCACGUCAGAAGCAAGGAAACUGCAAGGACUUCACUUCUGAAAAAUCAGGGUUGCUGAUUGCCCUGAAAAAUAAUUAUCAUACACACAUUCCCGCAUUUUUGUUCUUCAAGGACUCCAGGAAUAAACAAAGAUAAAAUUUGUCUUUGUUUUAUUAAAACAGUAGUUAAGAUUAGGAGAAGUUCAUCUACUUUAUCUGCACACAUACACAAAUAGAGAAGGAAAGAACAACUUAGCUCAGAGAAAGGUAUAAUACAGAACAAAGCACACCCACUGUUCAUAGUCCAUUUACAUCUUUUAGGAUGAAGAGAGUAUCCAGGAUUUCUCUCAUUUUCAAUUAGUCAAGCCCUUGUUUAAUCUUUUUCCCAAACAGUUUAGCUUUUCUCGAAGUGGAUUUAAUGAAGUCAAAAGACACACAGCAACUGGGGGAUGAAUGGGCAUUUCUGCCUGCUCAGAGCUGCCAACCUGCCAAGCAAUAUACUACAUGGGAUUCAGGUCCUUCACACGAAGCAGGAAUCAUCGGACACCCAUUUAGUGCCCCCUCAGCCACCGACACAUCCAAGCCUAAGUUCAAUGACAAGCAACUCAUCUGCUUACAGUGAAAGGGUCACCUACACACUGUUCCUGCUCCUGUUUCUAAUUCAGAAGCUUAAAAGGGCAAACCAGCCGCAGGCUGCCAUCACCCCAGUAGAUGCAGUCAUUUUCCAUAUAUUGGAAACAGAGGGCAGAAGCUAAAUGUCAUAUGCAAGAAUCUAAUUGGGGAAAAGCGGGCAGGCCUUGGGGUCUUGUCUUCCACCUGCCAGACUUCACACACAAGCAGAGGGUUAGUUUAAGACCAAAGGCAAGCCAAAAGUCACAGACAACUUUGCCACACUCCCAGAUUUGUUUCUGAAGUGCAACCCGAAGGAAACGAGGAGGGUUACCAUCCCUCACGUCGCUGAACCUUCUUUUCUUCAUACUGGGAUUGUAUUACCCAUUCCCAUUUAGUGAAAUUAAGGUUGCAGAUCCACAUUAACUGCUCACUUUCAGAACACUUUUGGGUCGGUAUGGCUGAGUUAGAUUCCUAGGCCCUGCACACAGUUACUUGAGAAAUGCUGCAUCUCUGCUGCGGGACUGACCGCCAGCCGAAACUCGGCCGUGUUGACAAGCUCCAAGCAGGUAAACAACAGCUACUGUAACAAGGAAUAAUAUUAAGAAUUGACCCUCCCUCAAGGAUAAGGCUAUCCCUCCUGAAAUCCCAAGUCCAGUGUCAAGGAGCAAAAAAAAGCAGGCAGGUCUAUAAGACCACCUCCAAACCCCAAGAACAUGCAGUGUAGUGCCAUGCAGAAACACCAAACAAAUGGCACCAAGAACUGCACAGCCACUUGAGGAACACCUGCAGGACGCAACCCGAGGUGGAGGUCCCAAUGCUGGCAGACAUGCCCCGGUCACAGUGCUCAGGCUCUGCCAGCCGGCCCCUGGAACAAACCCAGCCAAAGCCACACAAGGACCCGCGGUGCGGCCACAGCUGUGCAGCUCCUCGCCUCCAAGUGCUUCUGUGCAUCUGGCUCAGCACUCCAGCGCAUAAGGACACAAAAAUGCUGCUUUUCCAAAACCGUUAUUAAAAAAUGAGGCCUUAUUUUAUUAAAAAAUGUACCCCUGUUUAAAAACACAGCUUUAAGGAGAUUGUAAUUCAGCCCACUUCAUUUUUCCUUAAUAUUUCAGUAAAUAACAGCCAUCUAUUAAUGCAUCCUGAAAGAAAGACCUUAGCUGUCAAGCAGAAGGACCUACGCAUGGACCUCUUUGCAAAGACUUAAUUGAAAUUAGAGCUGACACUGUGAUCCCAGCAAUCUUCGCAUGCCCUAAGCCGAAACUCUGUUCUGGCUGACCAUGCAGCCCACGUCGCCGUGCAUUAGCUUCAGAUACCGCUCGCGCAGCAGUGAAGUGUUUCGUCCUUUUGUGCUUGCCUUAGGCCACAGCCUCCUUUCACGUACAUCAAACCAUCUCCACUGGACACUCCAGAAAUUUAACAAGCAAUCCAGGAUGCUGACUGACUAAGCUGGGGAAUCUGUGAGAUCAUUAACAAAUGCAAGAGAAAAACGAAGUAAAAAUCCGUUGCCAGGAUGUCUUAACCUACAAGUAAAUGCUGUAAAGGACAUUUUGCCUUUCUGUCAAAAAUUUUUGUGACAAAAAUACACAUGCAUUCACCUAUAUACCCAAUAGACUGCCUGCAAGAACUGUGUGUUCUUUGUGUAGUCAAAAAUCAGCUGGUUUUAUACAUAUGAUAAAUUACUCCCUGAAAUCCUCACCUGCAAAGGAUGGAAGCAAAAAAGCCGUACCUUGCUGACUUGGUCAUGCUAUAGAAGCAAAAGGCAACUCCUAAAUUGAUACACAAACACUCCCAUCAUUGCUAAACACCAGUCACAGAGCUCACGUUUAAGCUGUAAAUUAACAAUAAGUCCCCAUCUGAAAUACCACAUCAAGCUGGCAGUCCUGCUCAGCUUGAUCUUUCUUGGCCAAAGCACUCCACUAGCUUGUAAUACUUAAACCUAAUCUGACAGCAAAUGAGGCUUCCAGCAGAAAAUUACUGAAAGGCUGGAUUUUGCUUAUUUUUUUCCCCAAGGAGAAAAUAAAGGGACCAGAAAUGUAUCUUGUUGAAUAUUUACUGUAGUACAUAUUCCCUAUUCUGGUCAAAAGGAAUUAUCAAACAAUCAAAAGAUCAGUGAUAAACAUUACUGACAAUCAUAUUUGUUUUCUUUUACGCUUUCCUCCUUGGUUAUUUGAUAUCCAUAUAACCUAUAAAAUGCCUUCACCUUAAAGCAGAAAACUUUACAAUUACUCUAGAUAUUAGUCUGCUGGCUUAAAAAUCCAGAUAUAAUAAACUUAAGUUUCU